ensembl:misc_RNA Metazoa_SRP Metazoan signal recognition particle RNA
GCCGGGCGCCGUGGCGGGCGCCUGUAGUCCUAGCUACUCAGGAGGCUGAGGCAGGAGAAUGGCGUGAACCCAGGAGGCGGAGCUUGCAGUGAGCCGAGAUCGCGCCACUGCACUCCAGCCUGGGCAACAGCGUGAGACUCCGUCUCAA